CCUACGGGAGGCAGCAGUGGGGAAUAUUGCGCAAUGGGCGAAAGCCUGACGCAGCGACGCCGCGUGAGGGAUGAAGGUCUUCGGAUUGUAAACCUCUGUCAGCAGGGAAGAACGGUCACUGUGCUAAUCAGCAGUGAAUUGACGGCAUCUGCAAAGGAAGCACCGGCUAAUUCCGUCCCAGCAGCCGCGGUAAUACGGAGGGUGCGUGCGUUAAUCGGAAUUACUGGGCGUAAAGCGCUCGUAGGCGGUAUGUCAAGUCAAGGGUGAAAUCCCCGGGCUCAACGUGGGAACUGCCUUUGAAACUGGCAAGCUGGAGUGUGUGAGAGGAUAGUGGAAUUCCAGGUGUAGGAGUGAAAUCCGUAGAUAUCUGGAGGAACAUCAGUGGCGAAGGCGACUAUCUGGCACAUAACUGACGCUGAGGAGCGAAAGCGUGGGUAGCAAACAGGAUUAGAUACCCUUGUAGUC
rnacentral:rRNA from 1 species